CAAAGCCUGUGUCAAAAAUAUUUUGUAUUACGUCUGCAUAUUUUAAAAUUUGUUCAGGUGUUCACAUAAUAUUGUGCUGCGUCUACCGGUGAUAUAUAAACUCAACAUAUUACUUUAGAGCUAAUAUUCAACUGCCGAGAGCGUCAUAAAGACUCCAAACAUGUUGAAAAAGCUAUUUGUCGUUCUGCUUUUAGCAGUGAUGUUCAUAGGUGCAUUUGCGAAGCCAGCGGAUUCUUCAACAGACCCCACAUCGAUAUUAUCAUCAACCGUACCGGCCGUAACAACACCCUCCUUACCUGCAACACCUUCACCGCCUAAAGGCGCAGGUUUCUUUGGGCAAAUGCUGCAGGAUGUAAUUAAACCAUGGAUGAGUAUGAUAUGAAUAAACACAACAACGCGGAAUUUAUUGGACAUUUUCCCCAUUUUUUUAGAUACUUACUUAAUUGAAAUAUGUAAAAUAUAUAAAAAUAAUAUCUGAGAUUACAGGAAAUAAAAAUAAAAUGAAUCUUUGAAUA